AGCCGCGCGGUGAGCACAGAGCUAACUAUUCUUUCGCCUUUUACUAAAGAAUACCGUGUGCUCGCCGCUGAAAGCGGCAUACGCCAAUUUUUAGAGGGCUUUUUCCGUCAUCAGGAGAU
rnacentral:snRNA from 1 species